GUUUCUGGUAAGCUGAGAAUAUCCAGAAGAAACAGACAUAGAAGUAUUCUGUUUUCUACAGCAUCCCAUUGGUUUGGGGAAAUAUCUAGGGGUAGACUCCUCACAUUCAUAUGAUAAAGGGGAUGACUGUGAGCAGCAAUGUGGCCUGUUCCUCUGCCCACUGGCACAAGCAGAGUUACAAAUAACAGAAAUGGAAGGAUCACUACAAAUUGUAUUAUUUAACUGCAUGACCCACAUGGAACAAUCAACUCACUCCUAGGUUUGGCAGGGCCCUUCUGAGUUGAUUCCCUGAAAAACAAAACAAAACAAUAAAACCCAAACCAAACCAAAAAAUAACAAAUAUAUAUAAAAAAGAGAGACUCUGAGUGUCAUCAGCUUUGCUCAAUGUGGCUGCCUUGAUAAGAGUUCAGUUUUCUCUGUGUCAUGAGAAACUUUUUAUGAUUAAUGGAAGACAGAAUAUUAUCCAGAAUUAACAGUUCAUUUCCAAUUCUGUAUUAUAAAAUUAUUUCUGAUAAUGGAAAAUUCUCUAUUUCUUUAAAUUAAUUAAAACAUUGAAAGUCUACAGUGUAUAAAAGAAAGCACUGGAGUUCUGGAGAGGUGAGGCAGAAUACCAAGGUAAAUAGGAAUUAUUCCUUUUCUCAGAGAUAUGUACUCUACAGGGGAAGCAUGCAGCACCUGAAAGGGGAGGAGAGGUUGGUGGGCCACGCAGGGUUGAAGGAGGAGCAUAGGAACAUGGGUCUGGGAAAGUUUGGCUAGCUUUACACUGCUCAAUUGAAAUACUAAUUUGGAAUAUUUUCUUAACAUCAGGGUUCAAGUUUGUUAGUUCUACUGAGACUUCAGGUCAGAAGAAAAGAACAAUAGUGAGAAGGCAUUCAUGGCUUUGCAUUCUCAGGAAGUCAUCCUGCUGUUUGAACUGUGUAUGAUUGAGCAUAUUGUCAUUGAUAAAGAAUUUUUAUUUAUUUUUGAUCAAAGACUUCACCGUGUUUUCCUGACCUUUUCAAUCUCCUGUUUGCCGAGGUUUAACAUGAGCUCUCCUCGGGCCUGGGAGAAACUCUGAGAAUGACCCCUGAGAAUGAGCUCAGUGGUGAGAAGUCCAAGGACAGGAUGAGGUUGACAUUGCAUGUGUUUUUGGAAUAAGAAUCAACACACUUAAAGACUGGGAUUUGGAAGUGAGAAGGAGUACAUCGGAGUGAUUCAGGAAACCAAGAAAUGAGAUACAAGUGGCAACAUUUGUCAAAGUUCUAUGCAUUUGUUCCUCUGGAUUCAAGUGAAACAUCUGAAGUUAAUUCUUAACCCAAUGUUGGCUUGUUCUCACCAACCUCCUUGCCCUGAUCUUGGUAAAUAUAUUACAUUUCUGUAUGUUAUUUGCCCACAACUACAAAUAAAUAUAUAUUGCUUUAGGCUUUUUAAAUAAGAUAAGAGAAGAAAGGAUAAAAAAUAGGCAUUUAUACUCCUUUAUAAUUGCAUAAUUACUUUUAUCAGUGUUCUUGGUAUUUUUUGUGUGUGUAUUCAAAUUACUGUCUUGGGUCACUUGCUUUCAGCCUGAGGAACUAACUUUAGUAUAUCAUGUAAGGUAGGCCUACUGGCAGCAGAUUCUUUCAGAUUUUGUUAUCCAAAUAUCUUUUGAUUUCAUCUUCAUUUUUAAAUGAUAAUCUUGCUGGAUAUAGGAUUCUUGAUUAAGAGUUUUUAAAAUUUGAGGGCUGAGAAUACAUUAUCCUUUUGCCUUCAGCCCUCUAUUGUUUCUGAUGAUAC